rnacentral:rRNA from 1 species
UACAGAGGGUGCGAGCGUUGUCCGGAAUCACUGGGCGUAAAGCGCACGUAGGUGGGUCGUUAAGUCGGGGGUGAAAUCCUGGAGCUCAACUCCAGAACUGCCUUCGAUACUGGAAAGCUCGAGUCCGGGAGAGGUGAGUGGAACUGCGAGUGUAGAGGUGAAAUGCAUAGAGAUGUGGAGGAACACCGAUGGCGAAGGCAGCCCCCUGGGUUAACACUGACGCUCAGGCACGAAAGCGUGGGGAGCAAACAGG